GAUGAACGCUGGCGGCGUGCUUAACACAUGCAAGUCGAACGAUGAACCCGGAGCUUGCUCCGGUGGAUUAGUGGCGAACGGGUGAGUAACACGUGAGCAAUCUGCCCUUGACUCUGGGAUAACUGCGGGAAACUGUAGCUAAUACCGGAUACUUUCACUGGAAGGCAUCUUCUGGUGAAGAAAGAAUUUCGGUCAAGGAUGAGCUCGCGGCCUAUCAGCUUGUUGGUGAGGUAACGGCUCACCAAGGCGACGACGGGUAGCCGGCCUGAGAGGGUGGCCGGCCACACUGGGACUGAGACACGGCCCAGACUCCUACGGGAGGCAGCAGUGGGGAAUAUUGCACAAUGGGCGCAAGCCUGAUGCAGCAACGCCGCGUGAGGGAUGAAGGCCUUCGGGUUGUAAACCUCUUUUAGCAGGGAAGAAGCGAAAGUGACGGUACCUGCAGAAAAGGCACCGGCUAACUACGUGCCAGCCGCCGCCGUAA
rnacentral:rRNA from 1 species